UACAGAGGUCUCAAGCGUUGUUCGGAUUCAUUGGGCGUAAAGGGCUCGUAGGCGGUUUGUUGCGUCGGGAGUGAAAACUUACAGCUUAACUGUGAGCGUGCUUCCGAUACGGGCAGACUUGAGGUAUUCAGGGGAGAACGGAAUUCCUGGAUGUAGCGGUGAAAUGCGCAGAUAUCAGGAGGAACACCGGUGGCGAAGGCGGUUCUCUGGGAAUAUCCUGACGCUGAGGAGCGAAAGUGUGGGGAGCGAACAGG
rnacentral:rRNA from 1 species